rnacentral:rRNA from 1 species
UAAGGAAUAUUGGUCAAUGGACGCAAGUCUGAACCAGCCAUGCCGCGUGAAGGAAGACGGCCCUACGGGUUGUAAACUUCUUUUGUACGGGAAAAAAUCUCCGGUCGUGAAUCGGAGCUGAUGGUCCCGUAAGAAUAAGCAUCGGCUAACUCCGUGCCAGCAGCCGCGGUAAUACGGAGGAUGCAAGCGUUAUCCGGAUUCAUUGGGUUUAAAGGGUGCGCAGGCGGAAUGAUAAGUCAGUGGUGAAAUCCUACGGCUCAACUGUAGAACUGCCAGUGAUACUGUCGAUCUUGAGUACGCUGGGAGUGGGCGGAAUGUGUCAUGUAGCGGUGAAAUGCUUAGAUAUGACACAGAACACCGAUCGCGAAGGCAGCUCACUAAACUGUAACUGACGCUCAGGCACGAAAGCGUGGGGAGCAAACA